rnacentral:lncRNA from 1 species
ACUUCGAAAUACAAAAUAAGUAUGAUUCAAAAUAAAUUAAAACUAUUUACCUAUUGGUUUUUUGUUUGUUUUGGCAUCCAUCUUUGACCCUUCCUUCGCACCAUUCUCCCGCCACAGCUGGUGAGGCCUUGGGCAGAGACAAAAAGGAAAGGGUUGGCACUUGGCACGUGUCAGUAAGAGACAGAAGUUAUGUGACUUUUUUUUUGUGUCCAAGAGUUAUCUGGUUGUCGAUGAAGCUUAGUUUAUAUAGUAUAGAAAAAGAUGGCUUGUAAUAAUUGUGGACUCAAAAAGAGUCUAAUCAUGUAUCCUAAAGCAACUUCGAAAACGGUUUCCUGGUAAAUCUUCAUGAGGUACCUAAGAUGUGACGAAUUGUGACGUCAAGGCAUUCUCGAAGCUUUAAUACUCAUUGGUCAAAUAAAUAGUUUGGAAAUAGUAUUUCAGAGGAUAUAAGGCAGAGUCAUCUCAACAUGAGACGAUUCCCAGUCAGACAUUUAGCUCUACUUGAGGCAGUCGGCUUUAGAAAACCAUUAGUUUGGCUGAACAAAAACUAACUACCAGAAAAUCCGUCAACUUGAAUUUAACGAGACGAAAUUAUGUUUGAGCGUGAAACCGGUCCACGCAAAGCGUUCAUCCCAAAAAAAUUCUUUGCCAGAGGAUCGCAUGGUUUUUAAGCAUCCAAGCCCUGAGGCUUUAUGUUUCCGUGGAUGAGGAAAACAGGAUGUCGUGCUAGGGAAACAUCCACCAUGUAAUUAUGAUGUCUCAUUUUGCACGUUGUUUUCGGGUCACAGCCACUUUCACACCCUCAAAGUUCGCCAGGGCAAGCUUUCAAAUUCACUCAUAUGACAAAACGGCAGGAGGUGAAAUAACUUGUCCGCUGUCGGAUAUUGCCGACACGUUCUACUUCUACUAGGCUGAUGAACAAACCCUCCCUGGCGGGCUGUACUAGCUGAAGUGGAGAUUGGACCACCUAUAAUGGAUGUGGAUUCAGGGUGGCAGCAGGAACAGCCAUGGAUUGGCUCAUCGAAGGCAGGAUAAAAAAUGAUAUAAUCGUUUCGCGCAAGUGUAUUACAUCACGUGAUAUCAUCGUAAGAUAGCUAGAAACCCAGAAUGACACAGCACAAUGGAACAGAUGGAGGAUGAUUCCAAACUAUUCGCAGUAGGCCACGUCUACUAUGAAUUUUCAACUUUGCUAUGUCUACUGGCGGCUUUUCUUAAAUCCCGCAAACGACACUACCAUGGAAAAGAACCGAUUGAUUUAGAAAUAGGAGAAAUAGUGACCAAGUAUUUUGAAGAAUCUCGACACCAUCUAGUGUCAAGAUAUAGCAAUAUUGGUAUUUCAAGCGGACGAAAGAAGAAGUUGACGAUGAAAAUUGUAAAUAGAACCUUUCACGUCAAGUGGUUUAAUCCAGCCUGACGAACUAUCUAUAGAAGCAGCCUGGUGUCCUACAGUUCGUCGAGUAUUGCAUACAAAUUUCUGUGCAUCUAGCCGUAUUUCAACAAUAUUGUUUAGCAACGCAAAAAGCGGGGCGAGUGGAAAGGCUGCCACGAAGAUCGUGAUGAAACCAAACUGCAUCACUGACACAGAAACGUAUUCUUGAAACAAACCAGCAUUCUCAACUAGCUGAUAAUCUGCCUCCCACCUUUUAGAUUUGCCUUUAUCUUGAGUGAAUUCCACCUUGAAAACAAAAAUAAAAGCAAGGCUUGAACUUUUGGCCACAAGAUUUCUUGUGCGUUGUUGAUGACCUGCUUACCAACCAUGAUUAUGAAUAACUGCUGGGAAAGCUCAACUAGACACCCGCCAGCGCUACACUAUAUCAUAUACAACAAAAAAAUUAUUCUAGGACAUUAAACAGUUUCCCGGGUAGCCGACGAAUCGACCCUUGAAGAAAGCAAUGUAAAACGGGGAUGCAUAGAGGUUGACAAAUUGAAAGGCGAAGACCUUGAAAGUUAAAUUAUCUUCAAACUCGAUUUGGGUUCGAUGCAUUUCUAAACGUGAAAGAAAUAUUCAAAGUUUAGCUGAUGACGUUUGGAUUAUAACUUAUGUAAAAUAAAAUUGUAUAACUCA